UUUCGCAGCCCUUAGUUACCAGCUUAUCCUUUUUUGGAUGAUGGGCACACUAAGGGGACCGCCUAUGAUAAAUAGGAGGAAGGAGUGGACGACGGUAGGUCCGUAUGCCCCGAAUCCUCUGGGCAACACGCGGGCUACAAUGGCUGAGACAAUGGGUUCCGACACCGAAAGGUGGAGGUAAUCCUCUAAACUUAGUCGUAGUUCGGAUUGAGGACUGUAACUCGUUCUCAUGAAGCUGGAAUGCGUAGUAAUCGCGUAUCACUAUUGCGCGGUGAAUACCUCCCUGCUCCUUGCACACACCAGAA
rnacentral:rRNA from 1 species